rnacentral:lncRNA from 1 species
GCUCCGAGCCGCUCGCCCCGCCGCCCGCCAGAGGGUGCCCCCCCGCCCCCAAGUCGGAUCCUUGAGCUGCGGCGGCGGCAGCCAACUGCUCCAUAUUUGGCUUCUAUUACACAUUUACAUACUGGAGCGAGCGAGCGAGCGAGAGAGCGCGAGAGAGCGCGAGGGAGGGAGGGAGGGAGCGAGGGAGGGCGGUCGGAGGGAGGAGGGAGGGGAGGGGAGCGGGGGGAGGAGGAGGAGGAGAGAGCAGAGUAUACCGCAGACAUCAUUUCUACUACAGUGGCGGAGCCGUACAGGACCUGUUUCACUGCAGGGGGAUCCAAAACAAGCCCCGUGGAGCAGCCGCCAGAGCUACAGCAGCCGCAAGACACUGUUUCUCUCCCUCUGCCCCCCCUUCCCCACGCAACCCCAGAUCCAUUUACACUUUACAGUCUUUACCUCACAAAAACUACUACAAGCACCAAGCUUCCUGAUGGAAAGGAGCAUCGUGCAGCAAGUCAUCAGGGUGGUCCCUUCAAGCUGCAGAUUUGUGUGUCAUCCUUGUACCACAGUCUCCUCCUCUACGGCCACUACAGGGAAGUCCAUCACAUAUCAGGAUACUGGAGCAAAAUGAAAGAGUUGAUUUUGAGACCUCAGAAGUAG